rnacentral:rRNA from 1 species
UACGGAGGGGGCUAGCGUUGUUCGGAAUUACUGGGCGUAAAGCGCACGUAGGCGGCUUUGCAAGUCAGAGGUGAAAGCCCGGGGCUCAACCCCGGAAUUGCCUUUGAGACUGCAUCGCUAGAAUUGUGGAGAGGUAAGUGGAAUUCCGAGUGUAGAGGUGAAAUUCGUAGAUAUUCGGAAGAACACCAGUGGCGAAGGCGACUUACUGGACACAUAUUGACGCUGAGGUGCGAAAGCGUG